rnacentral:rRNA from 1 species
AACGCUGGCGGCGUGCCUCAGACAUGCAAGGUCGAACGGCAGCACGGGAGCAAUCCUGGUGGCGAGUGGCGAACGGGUGAGUAAUAUAUCGGAACGUGCCCAGUCGUGGGGGAUAACGUAGCGAAAGCUACGCUAAUACCGCAUACGAUCUAUGGAUGAAAGCGGGGGAUCGCAAGACCUCGCGCGAUUGGAGCGGCCGAUAUCAGAUUAGGUAGUUGGUGAGGUAAAGGCUCACCAAGCCGACGAUCUGUAGCUGGUCUGAGAGGACGACCAGCCACACUGGGACUGAGACACGGCCCAGACUCCUACGGGAGGCAGCAGUGGGGAAUUUUGGACAAUGGGCGCAAGCCUGAUCCAGCAAUGCCGCGUGCAGGAUGAAGGCCUUCGGGUUGUAAACUGCUUUUGUACGGAACGAAACGGUGAGCUCUAAUACAGUUUGCUAAUGACGGUACCGUAAGAAUAAGCACCGGCUAACUACGUG